GUAAAUCUCGCUCUUAUCGAUCUGUCUUCAAUAGAAAAUAUAAUAUCUCUUUGGUUUCUCCGCUGCUUCAGCUUGCUGCCAUUCUUCAUGUGCUUGCCCUGCUCUUGCCUCCAUUGAUUCUAGGUAAAAAAAAGGGUUGCUUCAACUUUCAUAACUGAUGAAUUCAAAAGAGCCAAACAAAUAUAUAUACAAAGAAAAAAUGAAGGUUGUGGCGCAACUCAAACGCCGUAAUACAUAUAGCGAAAUAUCUUCUAUCCUUCAAAAUUCAACACUUGCUGUCCCCGAGCAACCAACAUCAUCUUGGUGCAGUUCACGAGUCCCAAAACAGGUUGCUCUUACCAUACGAGAGCCACUUUCGGUUGUUCAAAAAGGUUCAAAACACGGAUAUUCAAAUACUCCUAUUCUGCUUGUGUGUUGUGCAUCUAUCAAUACUUGAUUUGCAACUUUAAUUAUCAUAACUACUCUUUGUCCCUGCUACCCGUCCUCAGCUAUCUGUGAGCACAGACAAUAACAAAGAAAAAGGAAAGGAUUUAUGCACGUCCUCUGUCAUUAGUGAAACAAGGAGCGUAUCCAACACAUCUAACCAAGCUCUUCAUAUCCAAAAUACAAUUCCAACCAAAGGUCCGCACAAAUCUUACAAUACAAGACAAUAAAAUCUUCAACAGAUGUCAAAGAAGCUACUGAAUGUUUGUUUGAGAGAAACAUUAUUGUUGUAGAAGAGGAUUUGUUGCUGUAGACAAAAUUAAAUACCCAACAACGAAUAGCAUAUGAUACAAUCCUUGAUAGAAUAUUUUCCAACAAAUCAGGAGCUUUUUUUGUUGAUGGACCUGGAGGAACAGAUGAUGACGAUGAUCAUUCAACAUACAACAUAGUCUACAACGAAAUCAUUCAAAAAGCAUUCACAUGAAACCAUCCUUGGAUGCCCCUAAAUCCUUUUGACUGUGCCUCCUCCAUCAGAAAAGCCUGCCCUCAGAGUUGACAAAGUCCUAUAGAUCAGUCCACCAUUAUGAUACAGGUAUUUUACUUUUAUUUGUAUAAAUUAUAAUCAUAUUUUUUCCCUGCACAUAAUUUACACUACAAAGUAAACGUUUAAACUUCAGUUUAUUCCUGCUUCUAUCGUCGGCUACCAAAACGACCGGAAAUGUUUCAAAAGAAAGUAGGCACGCCAAACAUAGACUUUGAGGUGCUUCAGAAGAUUAAUGAAGCUUAUCUUCUCCUUCCUUCUCUGCUUCCAGACGAGUUCAUCUCUUAGUUACAAACUCAGGUAUGUUUUUACCCAAAAUUUCUUUUAUUUUUCUCAGUUCCCCUUCUGCUUCUUUUGUUUUCACGAGACACUGAUUCAAGUGUCAGUCCAAACCAUAUGUAUAGACUAGGCGGUCAACAAGAUUUAGAGGAAUCCCCAGUCGUGGUCACAGGUACCUUAUCUAUUUUCUCACUUGAUGUAUACGCUUUCAUAAACUCAGGAGCUGCUCUCUCAUAUACUAAAUAGAGUCGGACUUUGUUAUGCCAACCAUUGGAAAGCACAUGUAUUCCCCAGCUAUUGAUCUGUACACAGCCAAACAGUCAAAAUGUUAUAUAUUAGACUUUUCCGCAGCAAAUAGGAGGAAUAUGACAGCACAAUACAUAACAGAACUAAUAGCUAUUGCUCUAAAUAUUAGUUAGUUUUGAAUUCUGAAGUUACUGAAAAAGAAUUGUGCUUCUUUUUUAUUAUUAUCGGUUGUUUCUCUUGCAGUAUGCUAAAUUUCGAUGAGUACAUGAUUAUUAUACUUGAGGAGCUGCAUAUUGGUACUGCUUCGUAUAUUUUCCAGCUGCAUACUUCAAACCCAUCCCUCAAGUUUAUUUGUAGUAUUACUAAUUUGGUUUGCUAUUAUAAUGUUUCCUUUUUUGAUUUAUAUUAGGUUUGAGCAAACGACAACAACUUUUGUUGUCACUAAUAUGGACUAUUUCAUCGGUGGGAAUACUACAAAUCCUGCAACCAAUGAUUGAUAAUGGCAUAAAUUACACAAAAAUAAAAAUGAACACAAAUGUUUACUGCUGCUCUUUUUUUCUUUCAAAGUGUUAAUUCUGGUUCUUUGUGAUCUUACGAUAAUAUGCUUUUGUGUCACUUUUCUUAUGUUUUUCAUAGUGUUGAA